rnacentral:rRNA from 1 species
AUUGAACGCUGGCGGCAGGCCUAACACAUGCAAGUCGAACGAGGGGCGGACGGGUGUGAAAUGUCUGGGAAACUGCCUGAUGGAGGGGGAUAACUACUGGAAACGGUAGCUAAUACCGCAUACCAUCGGAUGUGCCCAGAUGGGAUUAGCUAGGAGGUGGGGGAAAGGCUCACCUAGGCGACGCUCCCUAGCUGGGCUGAGAGGAUGACAAGCCACACUGGAACGGAGACACGGUCCAGAGUCCGACGGGAGGCAGCAGGGGGGAAUAUUGCACAAUGGGCGCAAGCCUGAUGCAGCCAUGCCGCGUGUAUGAAGAAGGCCUUAGGGUUGUAAAGUACUUGCAGCGGGGAGGCGUUACCCGCAGAAGAAGCACCGGCUAACUCCGGGCCAGCAGCCGCGGUAAUAC